rnacentral:lncRNA from 1 species
UCAGAAAAGUAUACUAAGAGACAAACAAUGAAGAUUAUGUCCCGAUAAGCAAAUGCCGAUAACUUUAAAGAUAAUGAAGAACAAUGGAAUAGAACGUCUGUUUUAUCAAUAAUUCAGCAAUUCGACAAGUUCGAACGCGCAAAGAAAACGUAUAACGCGGGCUGGCACGCAGGAGUGACUCAUAUAAAACGUUCGGUGUAUACGAUUCUUACACCACUUUAUUCAAGAUCGGCUUUUUUUUAUUGAUUUCUCCACUGAAAAAAUAAUGAAUUGAUUAGAUAGAGGACUUUAGUUCGAUCUCAUUUGAUUUAUUCAAUACAAGAAUAUCAAAAGCGACGUAAAACAAUUAAAAAGAAGUGUUUUUUUGUUGAUAUGUUACGUGUCAAAUGCGUGUUAGCAACGGGUGGCGAUACGUGGCACGCCCAGACAGGCAUUGAUUCUUAAGCGCCUGGUUCCUGCUCUUGUCGCAGUUACGGCUCGAUCUCAGCUGAGGUCGGAAUGAACGUAAAUCCCAGUGGCGAGAUGUUUCAGUGGCGACAGGGGCGAGGGACACUUGCCUGUGCCUGCCCCUGGUAAGAAGCCACGGCUCUGUAUCAGGGGCAGGUACCCACCCCCCCUCUCCCGGACUGAUAUGUGGCUACUCGACCCCCGCACGGAUCUCGGACUGCCCCUGGCAACCGACCUUUGCCAGGCCUCCUUCUCUCCUCCAGCCUCCACAAGCAUAAGUCCGCCGAACAUCUUUCCUGCAAGCACUGCAAGCAUUCCUGUAACUUCAGAUGCAGCUACUUCUUCCUGGGUGCAACCUCCUCGAAGAAAUUGACAUUUGGAUCUCAUUAAAUCUGUGCUAAAGAUAUAAAACAUUUCUUAUAGUCAUCUAUUGGCAUUUUAUGUAUUAGUUGAACCCUCGGAAUGACAAAUUCACUCAUAUCAUAUUACACUGAACCCCCGGAAUGACAAAUUCACUCAUAUCAUAUUACACUGAACCCCCGGAAUGACAAAUUCACUCAUAUCAUAUUACACUGAACCCCCGGAAUGACAAAUUCACCGAUGUCUGAUUGCGUUUUGUUUCAUGCAUUUCCUCACCCCCAUCAAAAGCUCCUUUGUGCAUCCUCUCUCGGCCAGCUAUGUUGUUGGAUGGCAUGGCAAAUUGACCAAAUAUUCUCAUUUCCUAUGUUGAUAUAUUGGCCUUCUUUCUUCAUAAAACUUUUCUUAAUUACAUUAAGCACUAUGUUGUAUUUUAAAGUACAAUAUGUUGUGCUGUUGUGUAUGAAUAUCUUCUAAACUUGUUUCACUCGCUGUUAAAUAAAUUCUAUUUUGGUAAAA